rnacentral:rRNA from 1 species
AUGAACAGGACGAGUGGACGACCGUAUCCAGCAUCUCACUACUUUUCUCUUCAGCCUCUAAAAGAACACCACUGGCCUGACGACGUAACUAGCACGUACUCACAGCAUUCCUCCACACCACUCGUGAUGGCUAGAUUCGCUAGUCCAGCCCUCCUUCCACUCAUCUCUCUCGUUCUGCUGCUGCGCUCCUGUGCAUCAUCAUCGGCACAACACACGCUGGGCGCCGGCUCAUCCCUGUCAGUGGAAGACCACGAGCGGCCCUUCCUGGUGUCGCCGGACGCCACCUUCUCCUGCGGCUUCCUCCCAGCCGUCGACGUCGACAACGCCUUCUACUUCUCCGUCUGGUUCACCGCGGCCAAGAACCGGACCGCCAUCUGGACGGCCAACCCUGGCGCCCCCGUGAACGGCCGGGCCUCCAGAAUAUCCUUCGGCCACGACGGCGCGCUGGCCCUCGCCGACGCCAACGGGACGACCGUGUGGGACAGCAAGACCGGCGGCAACAAGCGCCUCGUCGUCUCCCUUCUCGACGCCGGCAACCUUAUCAUCACGGACCCGGAAGAUUCCACCGGCGUUGCCGCGUGGCAGAGCUUCGACUGGCCGACGGACACCUUGCUCCCGUCGCAGAUACUGUCCAAGGAGAAGAAGCUCGUCGCCGGCUACUACACCCUCUACUACGACAACGACAACGUGCUGCGCCUCCUCUACGACGGCCAGGAGAUCGCCAGCAUCUACUGGCCGGACCCGGACCUCGGCGUGUUCGGGAGCGGCCGGACCAACUACAACAGCUCACGGGUCGGCGUGCUCGACGACGCCGGGGUGUUCCUCUCCAGCGACAACCUGCGAGUCGAGGCCACCGACCUGGGCGUCACCGGCGCCAAGAGACGGCUGACCGUCGAGCAGGACGGGAACCUAAGGAUGUACAGCCUGGACGCGGCCGGAGGAUGGACGGUCACGUGGGCGGCGCUGAAGCAGCCGUGCUCCGUCCACGGGCUGUGCGGCAAGAACGCCAUCUGCGAGUACCAGCCGUCCCUCCGGUGCUCCUGCGCGCCGGGGUACGAGAGGGUGGACCGCCGGGACUGGAGAAAGGGCUGCGAGCCGACCUUCACCACCAACUGCAGCGAAGCCAUGGCGCCGGAGCGGUUCAAGUUCGUCAAGGUGGCGUACACCGACUUCUACGGCUACGACCUCUGGUUCAACCAGUCCGUCACGUUCCAAUACUGCAAGAGCAUCUGCUUGAACACGUGCUCCUGCGUCGCCUUCUCCUACCGGACGGAUGGCCAGGGCAGGUGCUACCCGAAAGGCGUCCUGUUUAACGGCUACACCUCGCCGGCGUUUCCCGGAAGCAUAUACCUCAAGGUGCCUAGCGAUCUCAACGCCUCGGCACCGACGCCGUCCGGGGGCCUCGACUGCAAUCAUAAUGGUUCCGGUGCCGCCAUCGUCCGGCCAUACGCGUACACGUACGGGGUGCCAGGCAGCCACACGAACUGGUCCUACGUUUUCGCCUUCGCCGCAGCACUCGGAUUUCUCGAGCUUCUCCUUUUCUUCGUCGCCAUGGCAUGGUGGUUCCUGUCAGGGCAUGAGAGCAUCCCAUUCCCCAGCUCUCUGGAGGCAUCAGGCUAUAGGCUGAUCUUGGGGACCCAGUUCAGGAGGUUCACGUAUCGGGAGCUCAAGAGUGCAACCGGGAACUUCAACGAGGAGCUUGGCCGGGGCAGCUCCGGCGUUGUGUACCGUGGCGUGCUCGACAAGAGCACCGUCGUGGCGGUGAAGAAGCUGGCAAACGUGGUGCAGGGCGAGGAGGAGUUCUGGGCGGAGAUGACGGUGUUUGGGAGGAUCAACCAUAUCAACCUCGUGAGGAUUUGGGGGUUCUGCUCUGAGGGGAAACACAAGUUGUUGGUGUACGAGUACGUGGAGAACGGGUCUCUCGACAAGCACCUGUUCGGCGACGAUAUUGGUAAGGCGCUGGCAUGGAGUGAGCGUUUCAAGAUCGCUUUGGGUGCGGCCAGGGGCCUAGCCUACCUCCACCACGAGUGCCUCGAGUGGGUCAUCCACUGCGACGUCAAGCCGGAGAACAUCCUGCUCACGCAUGACCUCGACCCAAAGAUCUCUGAUUUCGGGCUGGCCAAGCUUUCCGGGAGGAAGGCCAUCGGCGACGGCGUACAACUCUCCCACAUGAGGGGGACGACGGGGUACAUGGCACCCGAGUGGGCGCAGAGUCUGCCCGUGGACGCCAGGGUCGACGUCUAUAGCUAUGGCAUCGUGCUUCUAGAGAUCCUGGUCGGGAGUAGGAUAUCUGACCAAACGACCAACGGGGAUCAUUUGGAGAUGUGCCAAAUCGCACAUGCACUAAAGACGGUGGUGGCGACCGGAGAUAUCGUGUCAUUGCUAGAUAGCAAGCUGGACGGGCAAUUCAACCCUCGGCAGGCCAUGGAAAUGGUGAAGAUCUCCUUGGCGUGCAUGCAGGAAAGGAGCAACCGGCCGACCAUGGAUGACAUCUCGAAAGCUCUUACAGCCUGCGAUGACGAGGACGAGCACCCUGCCUACUUGCGGUGA